GUGGGGAAUUUUGGACAAUGGGCGCAAGCCUGAUCCAGCAAUGCCGCGUGCAGGAAGAAGGCCUUCGGGUUGUAAACUGCUUUUGUACGGAACGAAACGGCUCUGGUUAAUACCCGGGGCUAAUGACGGUACCGUAAGAAUAAGCACCGGCUAACUACGUGCCAGCAGCCGCGGUAAUACGUAGGGUGCAAGCGUUAAUCGGAAUUACUGGGCGUAAAGCGUGCGCAGGCGGGUUUGUAAGACAGGCGUGAAAUCCCCGGGCUCAACCUGGGAAUGGCGCUUGUGACUGCAAAGCUGGAGUGCGGCAGAGGGGGAUGGAAUUCCGCGUGUAGCAGUGAAAUGCGUAGAUAUGCGGAGGAACACCGAUGGCGAAGGCAAUCCCCUGGGCCUGCACUGACGCUCAUGCACGAAAGCGUGGGGAGCAAACAGGAUUAGAAACCCUAGUAGUCC
rnacentral:rRNA from 1 species